rnacentral:piRNA from 1 species
UGGUAGCCUGGUACUUUCACACACAUAACC